AGGUGGGGGUGCUGUAUGUACCUGGGAAGUCCCAGGAGCUCAGGGGACUUGGGCAGAGCAUUUACAGGUGACCUGGGCAGGUGGGAGGGCUUGGGGAGCCUGAGUUGCCCCAGGAGCUCAGGGGACCUGGGCAGAGCAGUUACACAUGAGCUGGGGCAGGUGGGGGUGCUGGAGGUGCCCAGGAAGCACCAAGAGUUCUGUGGACCUGGACAGAGCACUAACAGUGGGAGGUGCUGGAGGUGCCAGCGAAGCCUGAGGAACUCAGGAGACCUGGGCACAGCACUUACAGCUUCGACCACGGCCCCAUCAGUCUUCCCCCUGGCCCCCACCUCUAGGGACACAUCUGGCUCCUCAGUGAACCUGGGCUGCCUGGUCAAGGGCUACUUCCCUGAGCCGGUGACCGUGACAUGGAACUCAGGAUCCCUGUCCAGUGGAGUCCGCACCUUCCCAGCUGUCCUGCAGUCAGGGCUCUACUCUGUCACCAGCAUGGUGACUGUGCCCACCAGCACCUGGCCCAGCCAGACCGUCACCUGCAAUGUAGCCCACCCGGCCAGCAGCACCAAGGUGGACAAGAUCAUUGCUCCCUGUGGUCCUGACCCUACCCCAUGUCCACCAUGUCCACCUCCUGAAAUCCUGGGGGGACCAUCCGUCUUCAUCUUCCCCCCAAAGCCCAAGGACACGCUCAUGAUCUCCCUGACCCCCAAGGUCACAUGCGUGGUGGUAGAUGUGAGCCAGGAUGACCCCGAGGUCCAGUUCAGCUGGUAUGUAGACAACGUGGAGGUGAGCACAGCUGAGACAAAGCCACAGGAGAGGCAACUCAACAGCACAUUCCGCGUGGUCAGUGUCCUCCCCAUCAAGCACCAGGACUGGCUGAAUGGCAAGAAGUUCAAGUGCAAGGUCAACAACAAAGCCCUGCCAGCCCCCAUCGAGAGGACCAUCUCCAAAGUCGCAGGGCAACCCCGGGCGCCAGAGGUGUACGUCUUGCCCCCGGCCCAGGAGGAGCUGACCAAGAACACCGUCAGUCUGACCUGCUACAUCCAAGGCUUCUACCCUGCCGACAUCUCUGUGGAGUGGGAGAAGCAGGGGCAGCCGGAGCAGGACUACAAGACCACCGAGCCCGUCCUGGACUCCGACGGGACCUACUUCCUCUACAGCAAGCUCAGGGUGGACAGGAACAGAUGGCAGCGAGGAGACCUCUACACAUGCUCAGUGAUGCACGAGGCUCUGCACAACCACUUCACCCAGAAGACCCUGUCCCCGUCCCCGGGUAAAUGAGCCUGGCGAGUCCUCACCCCACGAGGACACUGUCACCUUCCCUCACCUGCCCGUGUGAAUAAAGCACCCAGCCUGCCCUGGGACCCUGUGAGACUA